AGUGAACGCUGGCGGUAGGCCUAACACAUGCAAGUCGAACGGCAGCACAGUAAGAGCUUGCUCUUACGGGUGGCGAGUGGCGGACGGGUGAGGAAUACAUCGGAAUCUACUUUUUCGUGGGGGAUAACGUAGGGAAACUUACGCUAAUACCGCAUACGACCUACGGGUGAAAGCAGGGGAUCUUCGGACCUUGCGCGAUUGAAUGAGCCGAUGUCGGAUUAGCUAGUUGGCGGGGUAAAGGCCCACCAAGGCGACGAUCCGUAGCUGGUCUGAGAGGAUGAUCAGCCACACUGGAACUGAGACACGGUCCAGACUCCUACGGGAGGCAGCAGUGGGGAAUAUUGGACAAUGGGCGCAGGCCUGAUCCAGCCAUACCGCGUGGGUGAAGAAGGACUUCGGGUUGUAAAGCCCUUUUGUUGGGAAAGAAAAGCAGCAGGUUAAUACCCCGCUGUUCUGACGGUACCCAAAGAAUAAGCACCGGCUAACUUCGUG
rnacentral:rRNA from 1 species